UACGUAGGGUGCAAGCGUUGUCCGGAAUUAUUGGGCGUAAAGGGCUCGUAGGCGGUCCAUCGCGUCGGGAGUGAAAAGCUGGGGCUCAACCCCAGUCCUGCUUCCGAUACGGGUGGACUAGAGGUAUGCAGGGGAGAACGGAAUUCCUGGUGGUAGCGGGUGGAAUGGCGCAGAUAUCAGGAAGAACACCCCGUGGCGAAGGCGGCUCUCUGGAACGCAACUGACGCUGAGACGCGAAAGCGUGGGGAGCAAACAGG
rnacentral:rRNA from 1 species